rnacentral:rRNA from 1 species
AGUGAACGCUGGCGGUAGGCCUAACACAUGCAAGUCGAACGGCAGCACAGGAGAGCUUGCUCUCUGGGUGGCGAGUGGCGGACGGGUGAGGAAUACAUCGGAAUCUACUCUGUCGUGGGGGAUAACGUAGGGAAACUUACGCUAAUACCGCAUACGACCUACGGGUGAAAGCAGGGGACCUUCGGGCCUUGCGCGAUUGAAUGAGCCGAUGUCGGAUUAGCUAGUUGGCGGGGUAAAGGCCCACCAAGGCGACGAUCCGUAGCUGGGCUGAGAGGAUGAUCAGCCACACGGGAACUGAGACACGGUCCAGACUCCUACUGGUGGCAGCAGUGGGGAAUAUUGGACAAUGGGCGCAAGCCUGAUCCAGCCAUACCGCGUGGGUGAAGAAGGCCUUCGGGUUGUAAAGCCCUUUUGUUGGGAAAGAAAUCCAGCAGGCUAAUACCCGGUUGGGAUGACGGUACCCAAAGAAUAAGCACCGGCUAACUUCGUGCCAGCAGCCGCCGUAA